rnacentral:tRNA from 1 species
UGGUUAGAGUACCGGACUGUCGAUCCGGGGGUUGCGGGUUCAAGUCCCGUCGGCCUCGCU